rnacentral:tRNA from 1 species
GAGGGUACAGCUCAGUGGUAGAGCGUGUGCUUAGCAUGCACAAGGUCCUGGGUUCAAUCCCUAGUACCUCCA